rnacentral:lncRNA from 1 species
CCGAGCAGCGGAAGAAGCAGAGAGCUGGGGUGAUCGCGGCUGCACGUGGAGCGCUGCCCCCCCCCGCCCCGCCCCGCUCCGCCCCGGACCCAACCAAGAGUCCUGCGGAGGGGUGAAGAGACCCAGGGACCAGGGGACGCGGGUGACAUCGGAUAACCGAGUCGGGCUCAAUUCACCAGUGGAGUCCACCGUGGCAGGGAAGUGUGGCGGCAGGAGCUGGAAGCAGCAGCUCACAGGACACCCACAAUCAGGAAGCAGGAAUGGAACCAGCCACAUGUCUGAAAGCAACACCUGGGCAGUUGGCUGCAGCUUUGACGUCGAGGCGGAAGCCUGUUCUCCUAAAGGAUCUCACGAUUCCAUUCUUCUUCUUCCUACUGCACGGGCACAAAGCCUGCCCCUCAUCCUUCGGGUGACCCACACUCCUUCCCUCUCUUAGCUCUCCACUGUAGGCAAUGUUUCAAAGCCAAAGGACAUUAGAAAAAGCUUCCGGCAAAAGAAGGCCUUAGGAGAUUCUCUCUCUUGGAAACAAAUAGAAAAAUCUUGCUUCUGUCUAUCCUUGGCAGAGACUCUGGGCUGAGACUUGUGGUUGUAGUACUGGCCCUUGGGGGGAAUAUGGCCAUUUCAUAGUAACAGAAAAUGCAGCUCAAUGGGCUGGAGAGAUGGCUCAGCAGUUAAGAGCACUGACUGCUCUUCCAGAGGUCCUGAGUUCAAUUCCCAGCAACCACAUGGUGGCUCACAACCAUGAGAUCCAACGCCCUCUUCUGGUG